rnacentral:rRNA from 1 species
UUUCCGGGUUGAUCCUGCCAGGAGGGCUACUGCUAUCGGGGUUCGAUUAAGCCAUGCGAGUUAAAUGUUCUUUGUGAACAUAGCGAACUGCUCAGUAACACGUGGAUAACCUACCCUUAGGACCGGAAUAACCCCGGGAAACUGGGGAUAAUACCGGAUAAGCCAUAGACGCUGGAAUGCCCUAUGGUUCAAAGCUCCGGCGCCUAAGGAUGGAUCUGCGGUCUAUCAGGUUGUAGUGGGUGUAACGUACCUACUAGCCGACGACGGAUACGGGUUGUGAGAGCAAGAGCCCGGAGAUGGAUUCUGAGACACGAAUCCAGGCCCUACGGGGUGCAGCAGGCGCGAACACUUUACAAUGCGGGAAACCGCGAUAAGGGAACCCCGAGUGCCAGCAUCAAAUGUUGGCUGUCCAGAUGAUUAAAAAUCAUUUGUUAGCAAGGGCCGGGCAAGACCGGUGCCAGCCGCCGCGGUAACACCGGCGGCCCGAGUGGUAGCCGUUUUUAUUGGGUCUAAAGGGUCCGUAGCCGGCUUGAUAAGUCCUUUGGGAAAUCUGGCAGCUUAACUGUCAGGCUUCUAAGGGAUACUGUCAGGCUUGGGACCGGAAGAGGUAAGGGGUACUCCAGGGGUAGGAGUGAAAUCUUGUAAUCCCUGGGGGACCAUCUGUGGCGAAGGCGCCUUACCAGAACGGGUCCGACGGUGAGGGACGAAAGCUAGGGGAGCAAACCGGAUUAGAUACCCGGGUAGUCCUAGCUGUAAACGAUGCUCGCUAGGUGUCAGACACGGUGCGACCGUGUUUGGUGCCGCAGGGAAGCCGUUAAGCGAGCCACCUGGGAAGUACGGUCGCAGAGGCUGAAACUAAGAGGAAUGGCGGGCAGCAACUAAAACCGAUGGACC